CUGCCAGUCUCUGAUGUUUGUUUACUCCUCAAAGCAGUAGCCUCCAGUCUCUAAGAAGGAUCAGUUCUGGCAGGUCCCAAUGACUUCAGUGAAGCUCGAAGGAUGUCUCUUAAGGCAGAGUGUCAUUCAGAUUUGCAAAGCGAGGGUGAAUAUGGACGAGGGAACAGGAGGUGUGCAGUAUUACUUGGGGAUUCAGAAGCGAAAGUUUUCAGACUCUGAAUCAGACUCCGGGAGUUCUGGCAGUACUGUGGAGCUACCACGCAAUUAUCAGAAGCUGCCCCCACCACCUGAUGUGAGUGACCGGCCGCCUCUUCAGCGUGCCAAUGCAGUGGUCAAGAGACCAGCCUUGGCAGCAGAUGUCGGUGUUGCUUCAACUUCGCACAGGACACCACACCCAAGUGCUAGUGAUGCAACAUUUAAAAAACCCAGAGGGCAAUUAUUAUGUAUGUGUAUAUAUUUAAAUACUAAUGUUUGAAAGAAUAUGUUUAUAAACUAGUCAAAAUAUAAGUAGUAGUAUUAUGAUGCAAGGAAUGACGUGUUCUGACAUCAGAGGUCAUAAUUAUGGGAGCAGUAAUAGGCAGGGUUGGCGGUUUAAACUAAAUGGUUUAAAACACAAUUUUGGUCUUUCAUAUCUUGUUUCCAAUCAAGCACUGUCCACUCCCUCCACAUUCCACACAAUGUGUGCAGCAGUAGAAUACAAGGAUGCAGAGGAGUCCUUUGAAUCAGAAACAGACUCCUAUCAGCACAUUUUAAAGAGUUCUGGCUUCCUUUCUUUGAUGCCACUGUGAGGGAAGAAUAUGAUACAAACGGCUUUAUUUACUCCUAAAAUCAUGUUAAAAUGGCUUCUCAGGGUCUUUAUAAGCACAUAAAAAUGUGAUGCCGCAGCGUUUCCGCCAUAUUUGUCGAUGCCUCCGAGAUGCACGCCACAAAUACUUCCAAGUUUUUGCGACUUGUAGCCUUUACUGCGGGUCAGGAACGGAUCCUAGCACACUCUGAUACUUAAGUCCACUUGUAAGACACAACAACACAGCUGGGAUAGCGUAAGUCCUUGCAAAGUAGCGUACAGUCCUGGGCACUGCUGGGCAGCGGAGGCCACUUUCUCCUUUCCCACACAGACCCGCAGACUAGUAACCGAACACAAACACCACGCGUUCUGCGGUGAUCAGGAACUUUAGGUCCUGAAACUGUGCCAAGAGGAAUGGUACCCUCAUCUGAUGUGUAUAAUGCUUUUUUUUAUGUUUUAUUCACUAGAUAUAUCAUAGAAUCUGGUCAACGUCUUUGACUUCCAGCACCUUAUUAUGAAUAUAAAUGAAAUAAUAUUAAAAACACCCCUGAAUAUACCAAAAAUUAUGCCAAAUGAGGUUAGGCAUAAAACUAAAUUUCCAGAAGGGAAAGAGUGACUCACAAUUCUAGUCAUUCAGAGCUGUGAGCUGCGGUCGGGAGCAAAGUGAUAGUGUUGUGUACCGGUAGUGUAUUACUGUAGCAGCGAGGUAUAGUGUAUAGUGUAGGGGCGGCAUCGUGAAUGCAGUCAUCACCCCGGGGGGGGUGAUGACUGCAUUUCACCACUAUUCUAAUGAUUUUCAGUCCUAGUGACUAUUCUCAUUAAUAACUCAUAAUAAGUAAUACUUAGGUUCCAGCACAGUAGAUAUUAGAUGCAUGCUGUCCAUGUUGCAUGGUGACACUGGCGUCUGUGGACUGUAAAUUGUACACACGUACAGUCUGUGUAUGCUAAGGCGGCCAUUGUUGUUCAGUCAUCAUAACAGCGCCCCUAACUCCGGGGAGCGUGAUGCAGCGGCAGUAUGCGGUGCGGGAUAUAGCCAGGAAAGCCUGGUUUAAAAUAAAAUAAAAUAAAUAAAAUAAAAUAAAAUAAAUAAAUAAAUAAAUAAAUAAAAAAGUAAAACCACUGGUUUUUGCCAACCCUGCUAAAUCCAUCUCUAAAUCUAUAUAUAAUUCCUUUUCAAACUCGUAUGUGUAUAUACGGAUAGAAUUACUGGAAUAAAAAUACUGGAAAAAAAAAAAAAAAAAAAAAAAAAAAAAAAAAAAAAAAAAGAUUGGUUUUAGCCAACCCUGGUAAUAGGUAUAACUGUGUUUGUGAUACCCCUGAGGCUAUUUAUAUUGACAUUAGGCCAACAUCUCACCCCAUUGGCUUGGCAUUGUGUGCGUGCGUGUGUGUUAUGUGUGAGACCCUCGACAUAUCUAUGCAGCCUUUGCCCAUGCAGAUUAGUUUCUCGCCUAUUGUAUGAAUGGAUGGAUGUUUUGCCAAAGGCAGCUAUUGCCUCUGUGGUGCAGCGGUAAUGCACUGUGCUAAGCUACUCAGAGUCAUGAGCACGGGUUCAGAUUCUGUGGGGAGGCAUCAGCACUCCCAGCUGUUAAUACCCUUAUGGGUUUGGUCAACAAAUGGGUACUUGGGGUAACACCUAAGGAAGAUAAAAAGUGGUAGCCUGGUGACACAAAAGGCCCUGCUCCCCAGGAUAUUGAUUAUAACCUCCCACACAAAGGCAAAAG